GUUGAACGCUGGCGGCGUGCCUAAUACAUGCAAGUCGAGCGAACGGACGAGAAGCUUGCUUUUCUGAUGUUAGCGGCGGACGGGUGAGUACCACGUGGAUAACCUACCUAUAAGACUGGGAUAACUUCGGGAAACCGGAGCUAAUACCGGAUAAUAUUUUGAACCGCAUGGUUCAAAAGUGAUAGACGGUCUUGCUGUCACUUAUAGAUGUAUCCGCGGUGCAUUAGCUAGUUGGUAAGGUAACGGCUUACCAAGGCAACGAUGCAUAGCCGACCUGAGAGGGUGAUCAGCCACACUGGAACUGAGACACGGUCCAGACUCCUACGGGAGGCAGCAGUAGGGAAUCUUCCGCAAUGGGCGAAAGCCUGACGGAGCAACGCCGCGUGAGUGAUGAAGGUCUUCGGAUCGUAAAACUCUGUUAUUAGGGAAGAACAGAUGUGUAAGUAACUGUGCACAUCUUGACGGUACCUAAUCAGAAAGCCACGGCUAACUACGUG
rnacentral:rRNA from 1 species